rnacentral:rRNA from 1 species
GUGCGUAACGCGUAUGCAACCUACCUUUCACAGGGGGAUAGCCCGAAGAAAUUUGGAUUAAUACCCCAUAAUAUUAUUGGGUGGCAUCAUUUGAUAAUUAAAAUUACGAUGGUGAAAGAUGGGCAUGCGUCCUAUUAGCUAGUUGGAGUGGUAACGGCACCCCAAGGCUACGAUAGGUAGGGGUCCUGAGAGGGAGAUCCCCCACACUGGUACUGAGACAGGGACCAGACUCCUACGGGAGGCAGCAGUGAGGAAUAUUGGUCAAUGGUCGGAAGACUGAACCAGCCAUGCCGCGUGCAGGAAGAAUGCCUUAUGGGUUGUAAACUGCU